GGUAAUGGCGUGCCUUUUGUAGAAUGAACCGGCGAGUUGCGUUAGUCAGCAAGGUUAAGUCAGAAAAGACGGAGCCGCAGCGAAAGCGAGUCUGAAGAGGGCGAGUAGUUGGCUGACGCAGACCCGAAACCAAGUGACCUACCCAUGACCAGGUUGAAGGCGCGGUAAAACGCGCUGGAGGACCGAACCCACGUAAGUUGAAAAUUGCGGGGAUGAGUUGUGGGUAGCGGUGAAAUUCCAAACGAACUUGGAGAUAGCUGGUUCUCUCCGAAAUAGCUUUAGGGCUAGCCUCGCAAAGAGGAUGCUGGAGGUAGAGCUCUGUUUGGACUAGGGGCCCGUCAAGGGUUACUGAAUUCAGAUAAACUGCGAAUUCCAGACAUUUAUGUGCGGGAGUCAGACUGCGAGUGAUAAGAUCCGUAGUCGAAAGGGAAACAGCCCAGAUCACCAGUUAAGGUCCCAAAAUUCAUGCUAAGUGGAAAAGGAUGUGGAGUUGCGCAGACAACUAGGACGUUGGCUCAGAAGCAGCCAUCAUUCAAAGAGUGCGUAAUAGCUCACUAGUCGAGUGACGCCGCGCCGAAAAUUUACCGGGGCUAAGCAUGAUACCGAAACUGUGGAUGUGCAUUUAUGCACGUGGUAGGAGAGCGUUCUAGCGGCGGUGAAGCAUGACCGAGAGGACAUGUGGAGCUUCUAGAAGUGAGAAUGCCGGUAUGAGUAACGAAAGACAGGUGAGAAUCCUGUCCGCCGCAAGACUAAGGUUUCCUGGGGCAGGCUCGUCCGCCCAGGGUAAGUCGGGACCUAAGGCGAGGCCGAGAGGCGUAGUCGAUGGACAACAGGUUGAAAUUCCUGUACUGCACCGAAUCGUUAUGAGCGAUGGAGGGACGCAGGAGGCUAGCAGCGCGUGGUGCUGGAUACCACGUUCAAGCGUCAAGUCUGAGAGCGAGUCAAAUGCUUGCUCUCAUAAGGACAAGGCGUGAUGAGGAGCGAAAUUAAAGUAGCGAAGGCUGCGACGUCACACUGCCGAGAAAAGCUUCUAGCCAGAGACGGUGCACCCGUACCGCAAACCGACACAGGUAGUCGAGGAGAGUAUCCUCAGGUGAGCGAGAGAACUCUCGUUAAGGAACUCGGCAAAAUGGCCCCGUAACUUCGGGAGAAGGGGCGCUGGUCGCAAGAUCAGCCGCAGUGAAAAGGCCCAAGCAACUGUUUAUCAAAAACACAGGCAUCUGCAAAAUCGUAAGAUGAAGUAUAGGUGCUGACACCUGCCCGGUGCUGGAAGGUUAAGAGGAGAGCUUAGCGCAAGCGAAGGUUUGAAUUGAAGCCCCAGUAAACGGCGGCCGUAACUAUAACGGUCCUAAGGUAGCGAAAUUCCUUGUCGGGUAAGUUCCGACCUGCACGAAAGGUGUAAUGAUUUGGGCACUGUCUCAACGAGAGACUCGGUGAAAUUAUAAUACCCGUGAAGAUGCGGGUUACCCGCGACAGGACGGAAAGACCCCAUGGAGCUUUACUGCAGUUUAAUAUUGGGUAUCUGUCAAGCAUGUACAGGAUAGGUAGGAGCCGGAGAAGAUAGGACGCCAGUCUUAUCUGAGGCGCUGUUGGGAUACUACCCUUGCUUGACGGAUGCUCUAACUCAGGCCUGUGAUCCAGGCCGAGGACAGUGUUUGACGGGCAGUUUGACUGGGGCGGUCGCCUCCUAAAGUGUAACGGAGGCGCCCAAAGGUUCCCUCAGAAUGGUUGGAAAUCAUUCGCAGAGUGUAAAGGUAAAAGGGAGCUUGACUGCGAGAGAGACAACUCGAGCAGGUACGAAAGUAGGGCUUAGUGAUCUGGUGGUACCGCAUGGAAGGGCCAUCACUCAACGGAUAAAAGCUACCCUGGGGAUAACAGGCUUAUCUCCCCCAAGAGUUCACAUCGACGGGGAGGUUUGGCACCUCGAUGUCGGCUCGUCGCAUCCUGGGGCUGAAGUCGGUCCCAAGGGUUGGGCUGUUCGCCCAUUAAAGCGGCACGCGAGCUGGGUUCAGAACGUCGUGAGACAGUUCGGUCCCUAUCCGUCGUGGGCGUAGGAAAUUUGAGAGGAGCUGUCCUUAGUACGAGAGGACCGGGAUGGACGCACCGCUGGUGUACCAGUUGUCUUGCCAAAGGCAUCGCUGGGUAGCUAUGUGCGGACGGGAUAAGCGCUGAAAGCAUCUAAGUGCGAAGCCCCCCUCAAGAUGAGAUUUCCCAUUUCUUCAAGAAAGUAAGACACCUCAGAGACGAUGAGGUAGAUAGGCCGGGAGUGGAAGAGCCGUGAGGCUUGGAGCGGACCGGUACUAAUCAGUCGAGGACUUGACCAAAA
rnacentral:rRNA from 1 species